GGAUAAUCUGCCCACAGGAUGGGGAUAAUCCUGGGAAACUGGGAAUAAUACCCAAUAGAUCAUUGGCACUGGAAUGUCCUUUGAUCCAAAUGCUUUUCUUACGCCUGUGGAUGAGUCUGCGUCCGAUUAGGCUGUUGUUGGGGUAACGGCCCAACAAACCUAUGAUCGGUACGGGUCGUGAGAGCGAUCGCCCGGAGAUUGGAUCUGAGAUAUGAUCCUAGGCCCUACGGGGUGCAGCAGGCGCGAAAACUUUACAAUGUGGGAAACCAUGAUAAGGGAAUUCCCAGUGUUCCUACAUAGUAGGAACUGUUUAGGUGCGUAAAAAACACCUAAUAGAAAGGGCCGGGUAAGACCGGUGCCAGCCGCCGCGGUAACACCGGCGGCUCGAGUGGUAACCGCUAUUAUUGGGUCUAAAGGGUCUGUAGCCGGCCGACUAAGUCUCUUGGGAAAUCUGGCAUCUCAAGUGUCAGGCUGCCAGGGGAUACUGGUCGGCUUGGGACCGGGAGAGGUGAGAGGUACCUCGGGGGUAGGGGUGAAAUCUUGUAAUCCUCGAGGGACCACCAGUGGCGAAGGCGUCUCACCAGAACGGAUCCGACGGCAAGGGACGAAAGCUAGGGGCACGAACCGGAUUAGAUACCCGGGUAGUCCUAGCCGUAAACGAUACUCGCUAGGUGUCGGCCACGGUGCGACCGUGGUCGGUGCCGUAGGGAAGCCGUGAAGCGAGCCACCUGGGAAGUACGGCCGCAAGGCUGAAACUUAA
rnacentral:rRNA from 1 species